rnacentral:rRNA from 1 species
UUAAUUGCCGUGGUAUCUUGACCAUGCUAAGGUAGCAUAAUCAUUUGGCCGUUAAUUGUGGUCUGGGAUGAAGGGUUGAACGAGAGCUUAACUUUAUUACUUUAAAAGAUAAAAUUUCUUUUUUAGGUGAAGAAACCUAAAUAAUAUAGAGGGACAAGAAGACCCUAUCGAGCUUUAUUGAUUAGCCUAAUCUGUUGGGGUAUUAAUUUAGUUGGGGCAACUGAGGAAAUAACUUCUUGUAGAUAAAGAAUUUUUUAUGGGGGGAAGUUACCGUAGGGAUAACAGCAUAAUUUUUUUUUAGAGUUCUCAUUGAAAAGAAAGCUUGUGACCUCGAUGUUGGAUUAAGAUAUCCUUAAGGAGUAGAAAAUUUAAAAGGUUAGUCUGUUCGACUAUAAAAAUCUUAC